CUGCUUUCCCUGAUUCCAAAUUCCUGAGCAAACAUAUGCACGCUUGUUGUGAAAAACAAUUUCAUGGAUUCUCUGCGGGAGAAGUUGACAGAUUUUCUCUAAGUAUGUUGAUCACUUGUUUUUCAUUCAGCUUCUUAGAGUACCUUUGCCUCUCUACAAUCUUGCAUUCCGCAGUGUGCAACAUUGUACAUUGGCAAAUGUACUCUAAGAAGUUUAAUGACAAACAAGGGAUGCACAUACUUUGAGCAACCUGUCAUCGUCUCCAUAAAUGAACAGAGCAUCUGUGGGAUGGUUCUCCACAGCAAGUAUGAAGAACAUAGGUUUGCUCUGGACUUUGGAAUCAGGAUCACCAG